rnacentral:tRNA from 1 species
GUGGCUAUAGCUCAAUGGUUAGAGCGCCUGGCUGUGGCCCAGGAGGCUGCGGGUUCGAGUCCCGUUAGCCACCCCA